CUUAAGGCCAUCUGCAGUCCUUGUCACAUUGCCAGGUAGACUGAAUUUGGCUCAAGAAGCCCCUUUUGUAGGAGGCUGCAGACUGAGAUGAGCUCAUUCUGCCCUGGAGCAGCUGAGAGAGAGGAGGAGAAGGCCCCGGAUGGAAAAACCUACAGUUUUCCUCUUGGGACAAAUCAACCCAGCCUAAGGCGCGAGUGCCUGUUCCCUUUCUCCCUGGCUUUUUGGAAGAGGUUUGGACCUGUCUGGUGAAGUCAGCGGCAGGAGUCCCACUCCUGGGUGUUGGUCCCCAGGGGGUCCUCCCCGUCAUUCCUUGGGCCUUCCCAGGAGUCUCCCUUGAGCUUGUGUCAGUUCUGGGUCCCUCAGCAUCAGAACACAAGGGAGUCGAUUUGGAAGGUGAUGGAGGAGAGGGACAGGAAAGGAAGCUGACAGUAUUUAUCAGCAAGUCACCUGGUGGCCACCCAGUGCUCAGCACCUCGGAGAACUCUGGGAAACAGGCGGAACACACUUAGCCCCUGGGAGGAGCUGGGGUAUUUUCGCCACCUCCCCUCAGUCUUUCUGCUUGUGCUGCUGUGGCAUCCCGUCCCCAGCACUUUGGCCGGCCAUGUGCAUGGGCACAUCCGGCUCUGGCAACCAGAGAAAUCCCCCUCGAAAAGACACAGUGCUGGCCACUGAGUGUCAGGCCGGCUGACAAAGAG
rnacentral:lncRNA from 1 species